UUCUCCCAAAUCUUGGCCAAUCGUUUUUGGAAGCUUUGGCUACAGGAUUACCUGCCAUCAAUCACCCGCCGAACCAAAUGGUUUACAGAAACCAAGCCAAUCAAGGUCAACGAUAUUGUUAUAAUAGUGGAUCCUAAGCUUGCCCGGAACUGCUGGCCUAAGGGGAGGGUAAUAGGUAUCAAGAAGGGUACAGAUGGACAAGUACGGAGCGCUACAGUGCAAACUUCCAGUGGCAUAUACGAACGACCAACAGUUAAGCUCGCCGUGCUUGACGUAGGCGUCGAAGAAAAUGCGCAUCCAGACGACCAGGAGCGCAUUCUGGGGGGCGCUGUUGAUUCCGCUACGUCGACACUCCGUCGAGCUCCCGAUGCCCCAGUUUCGACCACACCCGACGGCCAUCAAAGGGAUUGUUUCGUGCACGAUAGACGUCAGACCCCGUAGGUAGAAACAAUAGGGACACAGAACAAGCAAGUGAAUGUGAUGACAUGCAGAUCACUCUAGAAGCUAAAAUUAAAAUAAUUUGGAUUAAGUGAAUUACUUAUGCUCUAAUGAAAUGAAUUCCAAGUGCUACUUAUUAUCUAACUGUUUAGAUACCAUGCAAGUAAUUUAAACAUCUAAAUGGUGAAACUCGUGAUCUAUAUGCUAGUUGUUUCUUAUUGCAGUUUUUGAAGUAGCUUACUGGAAUUGUACUACACAUGAAUUCGUAGAUAUAUAUAAAAUUACAGAUAAGGGUGAGACAGAUUAUUUGGCAAAAUGCUUUGAUUAUAUCUACAUAUAUUUUUUCUUUAAUAGCAUAAAUUUAAGGAAGUGCAUUCAAAACUAGUAACUAGGAUACAUACACUUAAACACUAAAUUGAACUACGACACUUGUCACAGGGAAGAAUUUAUAAGUUGAAGAAUCAACGCAUCAACUAGAACGGUUGAGCGGUAACGAAUUACUACAAGAAUUUUGUAAUUUAUUCUUCGUAUCAUCUCACCAAUAAAUUCACAUAAUUGACUAUUCGUCUAUUACCGCCCAAC